rnacentral:rRNA from 1 species
AAUGAACGCUGGCGGCGUGCUUAACACAUGCAAGUCGUGCGCGAAGGUGGCUUCGGCCACCGGAGAGCGGCGAACGGGUGAGUAACACGUGGGUAAUCUGCCUGGGAGCGGGGGAUAACCUGGGGAAACUCGGGCUAAUACCGCAUACGUCGGCGGGGCUGCGGCCCCGCCAAGAAAGCUGGCCUCUGCUUGCAAGCUAGCACUCCCAGAGGAGCCCGCGGCUGAUUAGCUAGUUGGUGAGGUAAUGGCUCACCAAGGCGACGAUCAGUA